rnacentral:rRNA from 1 species
GACGAACGCUGGCGGCGUGCUUAACACAUGCAAGUCGAACGGAAAGGCCCUGCUUUUGUGGGGUGCUCGAGUGGCGAACGGGUGAGUAACACGUGAGUAACCUGCCCUUGACUUUGGGAUAACUUCAGGAAACUGGGGCUAAUACCGGAUAGGAGCUCCUGCUGCAUGGUGGGGGUUGGAAAGUUUCGGCGGUUGGGGAUGGACUCCCGGCUUAUCAGCUUGUUGGUGGGGUAGUGGCUUACCAAGGCUUUGACGGGUAGCCGGCCUGAGAGGGUGACCGGGCACAUGGGGACUGAGAUACGGCCAAGACUCCUACGGGAGGCAGCAGUGGGGAAUAGUGCGGAAUGGGCGGAAGCCUGAUGCAGGAACGCCGCGUGCGGGAUGACGGCGUUCGGGUUGUAAAGCGCUUUCGCCUGUGACGAGGCGUGAGUGACGGUAAUGGGUAAAGAAGCACCGGCUAACUACGUG